rnacentral:rRNA from 1 species
GAUGAACGCUGACAGAAUGCUUAACACAUCAGCAACUGUUUGGUGGCGGUCGGGUGAGUAACGCGUAAAGAACUUCCCUCACAGCUAGGGACAACAUUUGGAAACGAAUGCUAAUACCUAUUCCUGUGGGAGGGCUUUGCGUCCCAUUAGCUAGUUGGAGGGGUAACGGCCCACCAAGGCGAUGCUGGGUACCCGGCCUGAGAGGGUGAUCGGCCACAAGGUGACUGGGACAUGGCCCUUACUCCUACGGGGGGCAGCAGUGGGGAAUAUUGGACAAUGGACCAAAGUCUGUUCCAGCAAUUCUGUGUGCACGAUGAAGUUUUCGGAAUGUAAAGUGCUUUCAGUUGGGAAGCGGUAACAAAAGAAGAAGUGACGGCUAAAUACGUGCCAGCAGCCGCGGUAAUAC